rnacentral:rRNA from 1 species
AUUGAACGCUGGCGGCAGGCUUAACACAUGCAAGUCGAGCGAGAGGCGGACGGGUGAGUAUUGUCUGGAAAACUGCCUGAUGGAGGGGGAUGACUGCUGGACACGGUAGCGAAUACCGCAUGCCAUCAGAUGUGCCCAGAUGGGAUUAGCUAGUAGGUGGGGUAAUGGAUCACCUAGGCGACGAUCCCUAGCUGGGCUGAGAGGAUGACCAGCCACCCUGGAAUGGAGACACGGCCCAGACCCCAACGGGAGGGAGCAUGGGGGAAUGUUGUACAAGGGGCGCAAGGCUGACCUAGCCCUGCCGCGUGGCUGAAGAAGGCCUGCGGGUGGUGAAGGUCUACCAGUGAUGAGGCUUUAUUAUCAGAAGAAGGACCGGCUAACUCCGUGCCAGCAGCCGCGGUAAUUC